AUUGAACGCUGGCGGCAGGCCUAACACAUGCAAGUCGAGCGGAAGAAGGGAGCUUGCUCCUGGAUUCAGCGGCGGACGGGAGUGUAAUGCCUAGGAAUCUGCCUGGUAGUGGGGGAUAACGUCGGGAAAUGGGCGCUAAUACCGCAUACGCUCUGAGUGAGAAAGUGGGGGCUCUUAGGACCUCAUGCUAUCAGAUGUGUCGAGGUCGGAUUAGCUAGUUGGUGGGGUAAAGGCCUACCAAGGCGACGAUCCGUAACUGGUCUGAGAGGAUGAUCAGCCACACUGGAACUGAGACACGGUCCAGACUCCUACGGGAGGCAGCAGUGGGGAAUAUUGGACAAUGGGCGAAAGCCUGAUCCAGCAAUGCCGCGUGCGUGAAGAAGGUCUUCGGAUUGUAAAGCACUUUAAGUUGGGAGGAAGAGCAGUAAGUUAAUACCUUGCUGUUUUGACGGUACCAAAAGAAUAAGCACCGGCUAACUUCGUG
rnacentral:rRNA from 1 species